rnacentral:rRNA from 1 species
AUGCACAAAACUAUAGGAAAUAGUUGUUUGUUUCCUAACCAACAUGCAACAGGAUAUCAUGCACGCAUUUGGAGAAAUAAUCGGACGUGGAAGCCAUGGAGAAUAAAAAGGAAAAGGCCAACAUGCAACGGAUUUAUUAGUUGUGUUUCACGGAACAUACAAACUCCCGAACUGCAUGUGCUAGAAAAUAGGAAGAGAAGGAGCCUGCACGUACGUGGAGAUAUGUUUCCAAAUCAGCCAGCUAUGUACGUUUGGAAAAUUAAAACAAAGGUAGCAGAUCAGAACGGCCAGGAUUUCGGUUGCACUACAAGUCGCGCAGGGGAAAAUAAAUCAGGUACGUAUACGUAA